GGGACCUCACGCCUCCUGCUUCAUUUUCUUGCGGAACUUUUCGUUCUCUGAAACUGUCUUUUUCUGCACAUUAUUCUUUUGUUUGUGUUUGCUGUUUGCCUGUCUCCCUCCCACAAGAAUGUAAGUUCCAGCAGGACAGGGCCCUGCCCGCCUUUUCAACUCGUGUUGCUGUUGCCUAUAGUAACGCCUGGGCCGGGAGCAACGGGCCUGAAUCACACGGGCCACAGGAGACGGAAAGCAUGGGGGUGCCUUGAGGUCCUCGCAUUGGGGGUAAACUAAUUUUAACUAAAUCUCCAAGGGGUCUUCAAGGAACAUCUGGUUCAUAUGAAGAAACAGAGGUUUUGAGAGGUUAAUUGACAUCUCUAACAUGGCAUAGGCAGCAUCUGAACCCAGAGCACUGUGUUCCUCUGCUUCUCCAUGAAGCAUCUAUUUCUCUUCUACUCACGGUGGCCUGCCAGCAUGUAAUAUAAUGCCGGGGCAAAUACAGUCAGCCAGAGGUAUUUAACUCAGCAGUUCCUUGACCUCUUGAACUCUUGUCUUCUGCUACAAUCAGAAAAAUUUCCCCUCAGCAUGUUCUUUUAAUAAUCCCUUGGACACAGUUGUGCAGGGUUCUGACACGCCUAACCACCCCCGACCCCGAGGCCAUGCUCAGCCCCGCCUGCUCCAGCCUCUGCUCUGUGGGACCGUGUGCGUCCUCUGACUCUUGCGGGGCAGCUGGCUGGAGAGGUGCCAACCAGUUGGGGGGCCUAUUCAGGGUUCCGGAAAACAUUCCUCUCCGCUGCCUCUUUUGUUUGCACCUCAUGAUAAGUGCUCCUUCGGCAGUUUUAUAAACAGACUGCUAAAAUGUCACCUUUCAGAAGUGUGAGCGGCUUGUUGGCCAGGACUACUGGAGUCAGGAGACCCGGUGCAGUGGCUUCCUUGGUCUGAGCUGGUGAUUGGACAACAAGCAGGUCGUUUGUUGGCCGAGUUGGCCCAGCUUGGAAAAUUUCAAGGUGCCAUCCUUCAUGCAGACCAAAAACACCUGACAUUGCUGCUCCUCUGAAAGUCAAGCACGGGGUUCUGCGUGCGUUUCAGUCUUUGUGAAUGCCUCUUGGUCCUGUGUGGGGAUGGCAUGGAAGACAGCACGGCACAGAAUGCAAAGAUGGUCUGAGGGCUUAGAAGGAGAGGAGCCAGCUGGUCCAGAGUGGGAGCAGCCCCAGCCUCCUGCCUCAGCCGUGGUCCUCUCGGGAGCAACAGCUCUAGCUCACGGAAGGAAGCAGGCACAGAUAAAAUCGGGCAUUCACCAACCAAAGCAACCAGUCUGCAGAGUGAGAAUGAAUUAGGUCAUCUUGAUCAUGCAUUGGGGACCCCAAGAAGCCUGCUGUAUUGUGAAGUGAAGGAACACAUUACCUGUGCUCGUGCUUGUUCAAUUAACGCUGAGCUUUGCCGUAACUGGGCUCAGGCCCGUCCACCCCAGAGAGCGGUUGGAGUCUGUUCUGCUUUGCUCAUCAUCACACCACUGAUGGAAUUCCAUCUGAAUUCCAGGGGUUCCCAAGAGGCACGUAAAAUACAUCUUAGUUGCUACAUGGGACAUGGAAAUCAGGAAAACAAAAGUCUCAAUGUGUAAAGUGACGAAAAACACUAGAUGUCUCGGGAAAGGAAAAUACCCAGGACCUCACAGCUAACGGGCGCUGGGCCCUUGGGCAGAAAGCCUGUUUCCACUCCAUGGCCCCCAAGGCCUACGUCCAGCAGGCCCAGAGUUUUCUCAGCUCAAUAGUGUAAUUUUUGUUGGCAAACAAACCAACCAACAAAUCUGUUUUGCACUUCAGUGGUUCAGAUAAACCAACGUUUGACCUGAAGCUUAUAGAGAAUAGUCACAACCCAGUGCUUCCCUUUGGUAAUGAAUGAUCUAGGAGCUGUGCUGUCCAGCACUGGAGCCACUGGCCACACUGAGCACUUGAAAUGUGGCUAGUCCAAGUUGACUGCAAUGUGCUGGAAGACUACAACACACCCCGUGUUUCAAAGACUGAGCACAUACACAAAGAAAUGUCAAAUAUCUCAAUGAUUUUCUUUUUUCUUUUGAGGGAGAUUGGCCCUGAGCUAACAUCUGUUGCCAAUCUUCCUCUUUUUGC